rnacentral:rRNA from 1 species
UGCACUAGUUUAUUUUGUUUAAGCGAUGGAGGGACGCAGGAGGCUAAGGAAAGCGCACGGCUGGAAAAGUGCGUCCAAGCCGCAAGUCUGGUGGCGAGUGAAAUGCUUGCGACCAUAAGGACAAGCGGUGAUGGGGAGCGAAAUUAAAGUAGCGAAGUUCCUGAUGUCACACUGCCAAGAAAAGCUUCUAGUGAGAAAUAAACUACCCGUACCGCAAACCGACACAGGUAGUCGAGGAGAGUAUCCUCAGGUGAGCGAGCGAACUCUCGUUA